UACGUAGGGGGCAAGCGUUGUCCGGAUUUAUUGGGAGUAAAGAGCGUGUAGGCGGUUUGGUAGGUCCGUUGUGAAAACUCGAGGCUCAACCUCGAGACGCCGAUGGAAACCAUCAGACUAGAGUCCGGAAGAGGAGAGUGGAAUUCCUGGUGUAGCGGUGAAAUGCGCAGAUAUCAGGAAGAACACCCGUGGCUAAGGCGGCUCUCUAGUACGGUACUGACGCUGAGACGCGAAAGCGUGGGAAGCAAACAGG
rnacentral:rRNA from 1 species